UGAGAAUGCCGGAAUGAGUAGCGAGAAUUAUGUGAGAAUCAUAAUGGCCGAAAGUCUAAGGUUUUGGAAGGAAGGUUCGUCCGCUUCCAGUAAGCCGGGAGCUAAGGUGAGGCCGAAAGGCGUAGCCGAUGCACAUACGGUUGAAAUUCCGUAGCCUCCGAAGUAUUUAAACAGAAGGACACUUGAGAAGUGAUGUUGCCGGGCGAUGGUUGACCCGGUCGUAAGGGACCGAAAUUUAGUAGGGAAGUCAUCAUGGAUCGAGGCGAGAAAAGUUCUGUGAAUAUACAAGGAGCCCGUACCGCAAACCGACACAGGUAGAUAGGAAGAAAAUUCUAAGGCCAACGGGAGAAGGGUUGUUAAGGAACUCGGCAAGUUGACCCCGUAACUUCGGAAUAAGGGGUGCUCUCGAGAGAGAGCCGCAGAGAAUAGGCCCAGGCGACUGUUUAGCAAAAACACAGCUCUAUGCUAAAUCGAAAGAUGAUGUAUAUGGGGUGACACCUGCCCGGUGCCGGAAGGUUAAGAGGAGGCGUGAGAGCGCUGAAUUGAAGCCCCGGUAAACGGCGGCCGUAACUAUAACGGUCCUAAGGUAGCGAAAUUCCUUGUCAGGUAAGUUCUGACCCGCACGAAUGGUGUAACGAUCUGGGCACUGUCUCAACAACCCGCCCGGCGAAAUUGUAGUACCGGUGAAGAUGCCGGUUACCCGCGACUAGACGGAAAGACCCCAUGGAGCUUUACUGCAGCUUAAUGUUGAAUUUCGGUAUUUCAUGUACAGGAUAGGUGGGAGACUGGGAACUACAGGCGUCAGCUUGUGGGGAGUCGAUGUUGGGAUACCACUCUUGAAGUGCUGGAAUUCUAACCUGCGGCCUUGAAUCAGGUCGGGGGACAUCGUUAGGCGGGCAGUUUGACUGGGGCGGUCGCCUCCAAAAGAGUAACGGAGGCGCUCAAAGGUUCGCUCAGCAUGGACGGAAACCAUGCCAAAGAGUGCAAACGCAAAAGCGAGCCUAACUGCGAGACUGACGGGUCGAGCAGUAACGAAAGUUGGAGUUAGUGAUCCGGCGGUAUGUGAGUGGAAAUGCCGUCGCUCAACGGAUAAAAGCUACCCUGGGGAUAACAGGCUGAUCUCCCCCAAGAGUCCACAUCGACGGGGAGGUU
rnacentral:rRNA from 1 species